rnacentral:rRNA from 1 species
CCUACGGGAGGCAGCAGUGAGGAAUAUUGGUCAAUGGGCUUACGCCUGAACCAGCCAAGUCGCGUGAGGGAAGACUGCCCUAUGGGUUGUAAACCUCUUUUGUCAGGGAGCAAUUGGCGCUACGUGUAGCGUUAUCGAGAGUACCUGACGAAAAAGCAUCGGCUAACUCCGUGCCAGCAGCCGCGGUAAUACGGAGGAUGCGAGCGUUAUCCGGAUUGAUUGGGUUUAAAGGGUGCGUAGGCGGAAUGCCAAGUCAGCGGUAAAAUCGCGGGGCUCAACCUCGCUCCGCCGUUGAAACUGGCGUUCUUGAGUGGGCGAGAAGUAUGCGGAAUGCGUGGUGUAGCGGUGAAAUGCAUAGAUAUCACGCAGAACUCCGAUUGCGAAGGCAGCAUACCGGCGCCCAACUGACGCUGAAGCACGAAAGCGUGGGUAUCGAACAGGAUUAGAUACCCUGGUAGUC